AAAUAGUGACAUACUGAGCUCCUGUGGAUGGACAACAACCCCAGGAGCUGAAAAAACAAGCUGUGGAACAGAGGUAACUUGUCCCUGAACACAUGAAGAGCUGAAGACAAAGAUGGGAAUGGGACUCAGAUGUCCAGCAUGAGCAGCUUGCGAUGACUGUCUGGGAAGGCACCUUGUGGAAAAAAGUUAUGAAACCCAGGAGGAAGGGAAGAGGCUUGAAAACCUUGCGUCUGAGCAGGGACAAGGAUGUGUCUGUCAGCAAAGGAUAUACAGCAGCCCAGUGCACUGUUAGUGAUGGAACUCUGCAAUACAAUGAUUUGAUGAGGCCAUGAUCUUGGAAAGAUACAAAAAGAGAUGGGCUGUUUCAGGCGAAUCAUGAAGAAAUCCUGAAAUAUAAAGGUACAGUCAAGUCUGGGAUGGGAUUUGCUCUGUAGGGGAGCCCGCUGGAAGCUGCCAGUGCUUGGGAGGAAGUUGCAUGAAAAUCUUGUUACUUGUACCUUGUUAUAUAAUUACCUCUUGCAGAGUGGGUUUUUUUUUCUGAAUUACAGUCACUGUUGGAGACAGGUUAUGUGCUUAGAGAGACCACUGGCUGGAUAGCCUGGUAUUUCCUGCAUUCUUACUUCCACGGAUCCUCUAAUAGCCCUGGUGCCCAGCUUUGUCCUGCUAUUGUGUCUCACUGUGAGGAUGGUCUAUGUCUGAGAUUGUCGGGG